rnacentral:rRNA from 1 species
AUUGAACGCUGGCGGCAUGCCUUACACAUGCAAGUCGAACGGUAACGGGCCUUCGGGUGCCGACGAGUGGCGAACGGGUGAGUAAUACAUCGGAACGUGCCCGAUCGUGGGGGAUAACGAGGCGAAAGCUUUGCUAAUACCGCAUACGAUCUACGUAUGAAAGCAGGGGACCGCAAGGCCUUGCGCGGACGGAGCGGCCGAUGGCAGAUUAGGUAGUUGGUGGGAUAAAAGCUUACCAAGCCGACGAUCUGUAGCUGGUCUGAGAGGAUGAUCAGCCACACUGGGACUGAGACACGGCCCAGACUCCUACGGGAGGCAGCAGUGGGGAAUUUUGGACAAUGGGCGCAAGCCUGAUCCAGCCAUGCCGCGUGCAGGAUGAAGGCCUUCGGGUUGUAAACUGCUUUUGUACGGAACGAAAAGCCUUCUUUUAAUACAGGAGGGUCAUGACGGUACCGUAAGAAUAAGCACCGGCUAACUACGUG